rnacentral:lncRNA from 1 species
UUGGUCUGUUGUUGCAUUCUGUAUCUGUUGACCUAGUUGGUCUGUUGUUGCAUUCUGUAUCUGUUGACCUAGUUGGUCUGUUGUUGCAUUCAGUAUCUGUUGACCUAGUUGGUUGGUUGUGCAUUCCGUAUCUGUUGACCUGGUUGGUCAGUUCUCGUACUUCGUAUCAGUGACCUUGCUGGUCGGUUGGACUCUGUGGACCUUGGGUCCAGGUAACACAUUGACUCUCUCGUCAUGUGUUUCGAUCUGGUUGAUCGAGGUUCGGCGUUGUACGUCCUUGUUUCUGGCUUCGGCCUAGGCACCGGUUUCAGCCGGAUUUUGUAUUGAGCAUACCAUCAUGACUUAGUCACAGCACUUGGGGGUAUUCACGACACCGGAUCGGUUUGGCCACCGAUCGGAGGUGUACUUAUCCGGAUGGGUCGUCCUGUGGGGCGGGUGAAUCAGGUCGGUGCAGGUUAGUGACAGGCAGCGCUUGAGGUCUGCGGACCAAUAUAGCAGGUACCAGAUUGGGUAUAUUUGGACUUCUUGUCCGGUUGAUGCAUAUAACUAUAGUAGCGGUUGUUGCUUGUAUACCUUCAGUUCUUUCAUUACAUUGUCUUGCUACUAUAGUCUUGUUACAUUUAUAUAUUCAGUUGUCCAUUACAGUAGCGGUAGUUGUACUUCUUUCAUAUAUAUGUCUCAUUCAUUCAUUAUUAUUACUACUGUAUUUCUACUGACCCGUACUGUUGUUUAGCUCUUCCUGAUCCGGUGAGUACUCCUCGCCUUCAUCGGCUUGCGGUACCCACUGGGAGGGGAGACAUGUUUACAUGUUCUCACCUCCCCCACCAUUUUUCAGGUAUUGCGGGCGGUGAGAGUCGAGACGAUAUGUGAGACACGUUCGUAGCGGUCGAUAGAGCUUCCGACCCAGGUUAUUCGGUUUAGU